rnacentral:rRNA from 1 species
GACGAACGCUGGCGGCGUGCUUAACACAUGCAAGUCGAACGACGUGGCGAACGGGUGAGUAAUACGUGGGUAACCUGCCCUCCUUUUUGGGAUACUCCUUGGAACCGUGGUCUAAUACCCAUUAAAGUGUGAUGGGCUCGGUGCCUAUCGGCUUGUUGGUGGGGUGAUGGCCUAACAAGGCGGUGACGGGUAGCCGGGCUGAGAGGCGGACCGGCCACAGUGGGACUGUGAUACGGCCCAGAGUCCUAAGGGGGGGAGCAGUGGGGGAUAUGGGACAAUGGGCGAAAGACUGAUGCAGCGACUGCGCGUGGGGGCUGAAGGCUGUCGGGUUGUAAAACUCUUUCGCUAGCGAACGGGUAGGUGGAGAAGAAGCGCCGGCUAACUACGUGCCAGCAGCCGCGGUAAUUC